rnacentral:lncRNA from 1 species
CAUUGAACCUGAUAUACUAACUAGAUCAUACAUGCAAAGUGCUCAGUACAGUGUCUGAAGGAUAAAAAGGACUCAUAAAUAGUAGCUGUUAUUUCUAUUACUAAUAAUUGCUCAAGCAUUUGCUAAGCCAAUGUUUCUUGACCAUCUACUUCGUGUCAGGAUACCAUGCUAGAUGUUGAUAAAUUGCCAGAAUCUCUGUCUCAAAAGGCUCCUGUGAUCAGGGCAAGAAACCCCUCAGAUAAACAAUUAGACUUCACCCUCAUAAGUGCUCUCUCUAAUAGGACACUGAGUACCAGGUGGGAGCAGGAAGGAGCAGCCUGUGGGCUUGUGCGGACGGGACACUGUGCAGGAGAGACGGGUCAGGAGGAACAUUUAGGGCGCUGCCAGGGCAAAGUGGAAAACUGGUGGGAUUUCUGUUCAGCUGUGGACACACCCUCGACAGGCCAGGAGACCGCUGUGGAAGGAGGAGUCACUGCCACAGCCGCCCAUCAGAUGUAUUCACAGCGACAGGCUGCAGGCUGGACUGGGGCCACAAGCCUGGACAGCAGACAGCGUCACAGCACUAUCACCUCUUCACUUCACAUCUGUAUUCAAACCAGCUCACAGCAACAAUGACCAUCUUGCCACUUCCCUUGGCCCAGAAUGGGGUUUCCACCCUCCGGCCCUCAACCUCAGGAGGCUCAGAGAUGCCUGCAGGUCCUCACCACUUGUUCCUGCUGGGACAUCCAGAAGGGCUGGGUAAUUAUGGACUUUGCACAUUAGCCACCAGAGUCCAAUGCAUACUGACAGAGUCUGAGCGCCAUGCCGUUAUAGUUCUGAAUCUCAAAACACAGUAAGAAAGGAAACUUGGCAACAGUCUUUUUAAUUUGGUACCUUUUUACCCACACUGCGAGGCAUUUGGGAUCAGAGUUCUGAUUCUCUUUAUGAAGCUCUUCUAUAUACAGAAUCACAGACUACCUUUAACUUGGAGCCUGACACUCUAGAGAAUUUUAUUAUUAUUAUUACGCUUCAAUUUUAGACAAAAAGCACAUUUUGAAAGGAAAAAG